AGUGAACGCUGGCGGUAGGCCUAACACAUGCAAGUCGAACGGCAGCACAGUAAGAGCUUGCUCUUACGGGUGGCGAGUGGCGGACGGGUGAGGAAUACAUCGGAAUCUACUUUUUCGUGGGGGAUAACGUAGGGAAACUUACGCUAAUACCGCAUACGACCUACGGGUGAAAGCAGGGGAUCUUCGGACCUUGCGCGAUUGAAUGAGCCGAUGUCGGAUUAGCUAGUUGGCGGGGUAAAGGCCCACCAAGGCGACGAUCCGUAGCUGGUCUGAGAGGAUGAUCAGCCUCACUGGAACUGAGACACGGUCCAGACUCCUACGGGAGGCAGCAGUGGGGAAUAUUGGACAAUGGGCGCAAGCCUGAUCCAGCCAUACCGCGUGGGUGAAGAAGGCCUUCGGGUCGUAAAGCCCUUUUGUUGGGAAAGAAAAGCAGCAGGUUAAUACCCCGCUGUUCUGACGGUACCCAAAGAAUAAGCACCGGCUAACUUCGUG
rnacentral:rRNA from 1 species